AAAAGCUUGAGGAUUAACUUUUAAACUCUACCUGAUGUGGAAAAAGGGAAAAGGAAAAUGUUUAUCUUCUGAAAUCAAACACAUUCUUUUUUCCCAGGACACUGAACAUGACUGUACAGAAAAAUCUUCCUUUAAUUUACAUUCACUGCCUUACUCCUGAAAUAUUUCCUUAAAACAGGUUAGCCAGAAAUAAUCAGGCUUCCCAAAACUUGUUGCUUUUAAUUUACUAUUAAGGGAGCAAAACAAUGUUAUUGAGAGCACCUGAUGUAGACUAGAUUUCUCCCUUCCCUUCCCUUCCCUUCCCUUCCCUUCCCUUCCCUUCCCUUCCCUUCCCUUCCCUUCCCUUCCCUUCCCACACUUAUUCUCUUUUUCUCUCUGUCUUUCUCUCUCUUCAGGUAGAGUACUGCCCUUCAGCUGCAGCCUCCCUCUAGCAUCUUCCUGUACCAUUUUUUCCUCUGUAAACUCAGCCCAUGAACAUUCAGGUUUCAGUCCAGCUGGCAGUAAAGUUGGUGCAUGAACAACUCUCAGUCCUCCUGAUAUGCCUGGAGUUGCCUGAAGGAAGAAAGUGUCGCUGUCUGAACAGGGAGCUAGAAGGGAGGAGAGGAAACUCUUUCCCCUGA
rnacentral:lncRNA from 1 species